GACAGAGGGGGCAAGCGUUGCUCGGAUUGACUGGGCGUAAAGGGCGCGUAGGCGGCUUGUACAGUCAGACGUGAAAUUCCUGGGCUCAACCUGGGGGCUGCGUUUGAUACGUGCGAGCUUGAGUUCGGAAGAGGGUCGUGGAAUUCCCAGUGUAGAGGUGAAAUUCGUAGAUAUUGGGAAGAACACCGGUGGCGAAGGCGGCGACCUGGUCCGAUACUGACGCUGAGGCGCGAAAGCGUGGGGAGCAAACAGG
rnacentral:rRNA from 1 species